AUUGAACGCUGGCGGCAGGCCUAACACAUGCAAGUCGAGCGGAUGAGUGGAGCUUGCUCCAUGAUUCAGCGGCGGACGGGUGAGUAAUGCCUAGGAAUCUGCCUGGUAGUGGGGGACAACGUUUCGAAAGGAACGCUAAUACCGCAUACGUCCUACGGGAGAAAGCAGGGGACCUUCGGGCCUUGCGCUAUCAGAUGAGCCUAGGUCGGAUUAGCUAGUAGGUGAGGUAAUGGCUCACCUAGGCGACGAUCCGUAACUGGUCUGAGAGGAUGAUCAGUCACACUGGAACUGAGACACGGUCCAGACUCCUACGGGAGGCAGCAGUGGGGAAUAUUGGACAAUGGGCGAAAGCCUGAUCCAGCCAUGCCGCGUGUGUGAAGAAGGUCUUCGGA
rnacentral:rRNA from 1 species